AAUGCCUCUUCUUCAUUCGAUGAGGACCUUCUUCGCAAAACGAGCUCAGUAAUGGAAGCCCUAGGGCCCAUGGGCCCAGGCCUGUUGGCCGUUACGGGCGUCCCCAACGCCUCCGAGCUCCGCUCCGAACUUCUCCGUCUUGCUCCCAAGCUCGCCCUUCUCCACCGCGACACACGUAAACGUGUUCUCAAGGAAUGCCACAAUUCUCUCACAUCAUAAAGAGGGACUGCAACAUAUUUUGAAGGUCACUAUCAAUUAUCAAAACCCUCGGUCAGCCGCUAUUGAAGAAGAGAGACCACCAUUGUGGAGAAGAAGAGUGGAAAUUGGAGGGAGAGAAGAGAAGAAUCGCUGCUGUUGAAAGGAAAAGGGUGUUGGUUCUCGCAGAAAAGAAGUCAAAACAGUCAGAAAAUGGACGAAGCAGAUCAGUUAUAUCGACUAAACGGCAUUGCUCAUAUUGCAGGAUACAUUGACAAAGAGCCAACCCGUUGCAUUUCAAGUGUUCGUCGGCAGCAAAAUAUGAAAUUGCAUGAUCGUGUCAUCCCCUACCUGAAAGUUGCUGGUCUAGAGCAGGUGGCAAGGCUUAAUGCACAUUGGUUUAAGCUUGAUGAGCCUCUCAUUAGUGCAUUUGUUGAACGUUGGCGUCCGGAGACGCACACAUUUCAUAUGCCGUUUGGUGAGUGUACGGUCACUUUACAGGACGUUUCAUACCAGCUCGGUCUUCCGAUUGAUGGCGAGGCAGUCAGUGGAUGCCUUUCUGAUUUUGAGCAGCUUAUGGAGGGUGGGAAACCAGCAUGGACUUGGUUCCAGGAGCUGUUUGGUGAGCUUCCUCCUGCCAAGUGUAUCAAUAAGUUUACUGUGACAUACAAGUGGUUCCAAACGAGGUUUGAGGUGCUUCCAGAUAAUGCGUCGGAGGAUACGGUUAGGAUGUAUGCUCGGGCCUAUAUUAUGGUGCUACUGUCAUCCCAGCUGUUUGGAGACAAAUCUGGGACUCGAGUUCACAUCCGGUGGUUGCCUUUCGUUGCUCGCUUAGAGGAGUUGGGCCGAUAUAGUUGGGGAUCAUCUACAUUAGCUUGGUUGUACCGUUGCUUGUGCCGUGUUGCUAACCGCAAUGUGGUUAAGCUCGCUGGUCCAUUAACAUUGCUCCAAUCUUGGAUUUUCUGGCGUUUCCCCACAUUGCGGCCUCAUGGGUUCAACACGUUCACUUGGCCAUUGGCGUCAAGGUGGGCGAAGUAUAUUCCUUCACUUGAUCAGAGAGCCCCUCGAGUGUUGCAGUUGAGGCUCAAGCUCGAUAAGUUGAGACCCGAUGAUUUUCUGUGGAUGCCAUAUGCUGUGCCUGAUGUACUUGAGAUUGCGGCGGUGGAUGCCCUGGACCAGAGACACCAGGUUUUAUGGAGGUCGACGACAUCUUUGAUAUACUUUGCCGUUAUUGAGUGGCAUCAAGUGGAUCGGGUCUUGCCACAGCUCGGUGGGGUCCAACAUCGGCCACACAAGGCCCUUGACAUAGAUUCUCUUAUGGCAAAGGAUGGUAGAGGAGGAGACCGCUGGUUCCCCAAUGUCUUUGCCACCUGGCACCAACAUUGGAACAAUAGGUUUGAUAAUGUGCUCCGUUUUCAAAUUGUUCCUAACCCAGGCCCAUCAGUAGAUUACCUCAAUUGGUGGUUCAGGAUAGCUCGGAGGUUCCUUUCACCAGAACACUUACUUGUAGAUCCUAGGGUAGCUGGGAUUCCUCAGGAUGCAAGACCAAGAGACGAGAGGGCUGCCCCCGCGAUGGUGGAGGCCCCGGAUGUCCCCGAUAGGCGUAGCAUUGAGCGUCGUGCACGUGUUGGCACUCGUACAUCUCAGCGCAACUAUGGUGGACGACAACCUCGAAGAGGGAGAGGAGGCGGCAGAGUUGGGAGAGGAGGUGAGCUAGGCAGCGAUGAAGGCAGAGGUGAUGGAGGAGGAGGGGGAAGUGGUUCUGGAGGUAGCUAUAUGCUGGGUUCGAGUUGCCGGGAUCCCGUGUGUAGUGAUUGACUCACAAACUUUUGCUCAGGAAUGCCAAUUAUUCGUAGAUGUAGCACAUCCGUCAAAGGGAUUGAUGGUUCCACUAAGACAGCUAUUGGACCUUGCUACAAAAAGUUCCCUCUCUAGUUUCCUUAAUUUUACUUUUGUGGUGAAUCGCAGCAAAAAAGAACUCAAACAUUAUGAUUUAAGUUUACUUCUAAGUGUGUCUAGGUCAAUUAAGGUUAUUCUGCAAUAGUAUGCGACUUCUCUUUUUUAUAUUGAGAGUGAAAAAUCGUUUCUGGCAAUUGGGGUUAAUAGUUCGUUCAGUAAUUGCCACAUGUUGUUGGGUUUACAGAAAAAAGCUAGGAAUCCUUUUACCUGUGUCGAUUUAUUAAAGCAAUUUGUUUAUUGUUGGGUCAUGUGUUUAUCUUAAAAUCUAUAAACCCUCUUGCCUGUAGCCAUUUAUGUGUAACAGGAUGGUAAGGUUUAUUAAGACUCAUGGCAGGCCUUCAAGUAUCACAGGUUUGUUCAACAAUCGCUAUUAUGGAGUAAAAUGGGCAUCAAAUUUUGAGCUGGAAUCUCUACAGGAACACAACUUGGGCAGUGAUGUUCCUUUGAGAAAUCCAGAUAGGAGUGUGUCCUCCUUUGCUAUGAAUCUCAAAUAUGCCAAAGCUCCGGGAGCAUUGACCACGACUGAUC